rnacentral:rRNA from 1 species
GGUUACUUUCGAUUGACUUGGGCUUGAUUUUAUACUCCAACCCAUGUGAACAUACCUUACGUUGCCUCGGCAGGUCGCGCCUACCUAGUAGCGCCCUACGCUGUAGGGCCUACCCGGGAGACGCGGGUAAGCCUGCCGGCCCCCCACGAAACUCUGUCUGAUAUUGAAUUCUGAACCCAUAACUAAAUAAGUUAAAACUUUCAACAACGGAUCUCUUGGUUCUGGCAUCGAUGAAGAACGCAGCGAAAUGCGAUAAGUAAUGUGAAUUGCAGAAUUCAGUGAAUCAUCGAAUCUUUGAACGCACAUUGCGCCCAUUAGUAUUCUAGUGGGCAUGCCUGUUCCUGCGUCAUUUCAACCCUUAAGCCUCUGUUGCUUAGCGUUGGGAGCCUACAGCACCUGUAGCUCCUCAAAGUUAGUGGCGGAGUCGGUUCACACUUUAGACGUAGUAAUUCUUUCUCGCCUAUUAGUUAGAACCGGUCUCCCGCCGUAAAACCCCUUAUUUCUAAAGGUUCUGCUCGGAUCAGGUAGGAAUACCCGCUGAACUUAAGCAUAUCAAUAGGCGGGAGGAAAUUCAUUAAAGAGUUUAUAACUCCAAACCAUGUUGAACAUACUUUAGUUGCUCGCGGUCGCGCCUACCUAGUAGCGCCCUACCCUGUAGGGCUACCGGGAGACGCGGGUAAGCCUGCGGCGGCCACGAAACUCUGUCUGAUUAUUGAAUUUCUGAACAUAACUAAAUAGGUUUAAAACUUUUCAAGGAUCUCUUGGUUUCUGGCAUCAGAAAAACCACAAAUGCAUUAAGUAAUGUGAAUUGCGGAAAUCGUGAAUCAUCAAUCUUGAACGAUGACUGAUUAC